UAUCAGACAACCUCUUGAGUCAGAGGGCUGGCUGCACCUCGGUUCUUGUCAUGCUCUUAUAAAUGAAUUUAACAAUGGACUCCAGGUUUCAAGGUUCCUCUACCAGACAUUUUGAGCAACAGAAUAGAUUUCAAGAUCUGCUUUUUACUUUGUUGUGGCUUUUCCCAGAAUUUGUGAGAACAUCUGGCAAUUUUAUCUUGGCAAAUCCCAAGACUGCUGACUUUGUUCUGUGGGACUGUGGGGAGGCUUACUGACCAUAGAUGCUGUUUUCAGUAUCCUAGGUUCAAAUAAAAAAUAAAAAAAGAGU